UACGUAGGUGGCAAGCGUUGUCCGGAAUUAUUGGGCGUAAAGCGCGCGCAGGCGGUCCUUUAAGUCUGAUGUGAAAGCCCUCAGCUCAACUGAGGAAGUGCGCCCGAAACUGCAGAGCUUGAGUACCGGAGAGGAUGGUGGAAUUCCCCAAGUAGAGGUGAAAUUCGUAGAUAUUCGGAGGAACACCAGAAGCGAAGGCGGCCAACUGGCCCGAUACUGACGCUGAGGCGCGAAAGCGUGGGGAGCAAACAGG
rnacentral:rRNA from 1 species